ensembl:lncRNA
AAGAAUUGAAACACUUAGCAGGUACUGGCCCAAGUCUGGGUACUAAAACUGAGUCAACACCACUGGCAUUGGGCCACAAUCACACUGACGAGAAAUAAAACACUUAGCCAAUACUGGCCCGAGUCUGGGUACUGGAACUGGUACUGGCUAAGAGUACCAUUUUGGUUGGUGUGAGAUAUAUAUAUAUAUAUAUAUGUAGCCAAGUGAAGAAAUGUAAAAAAACCUAAAUUGGUUGUGGGUCCUUUAAGAAACAGUGUUUGCAACACUUGCUUUGCGGCACCCCGCAUGUAACACAUACGCGCGUAUUUCAGUGUGAGCAGAGCAAUGCUCUGGGUUUGGUGCCAUUAUUCUGACUUUGGCAAGGUAAAUGUACAUUCUUACUGAAGUUGUGAACAAAUUGCAUAAAAUGCGUACGUGAGAGUAGUAUGUCAAUAAUGAAUGUUUCAUGGAUUGUAUUUAAGGACGUUUAUGGAUUGCAUGUGUGAGGUGGAUCUGGUUUGAUCACGUUUCGGGGCACGUGCAAAGACUGGGUUUUUCAUUAUGUUCUGCAUGGAAUCGGCGAAACCGCAAAGUGAGCACCACCCCAACUGCACAAAACGCCAGCUGCAGCCGCACCGCGACCCUACCGCCCACCCCGCGUGAGCCCCUCUUCACACGGGACGCGGCGGGACCGAGGCGGUGCCCUCGCCAAGGUCCCAACGAUGCAGAAGUAUAAAUGAAAACUGACACAUAGUCCGACGCGGAAGUAUAAUCAGCCUUUAGUUAUAAAAUACUUACAAUAUAAAUGCUUUAUAAUUUUGCAGGUUAUUACUCCCUUAUUCCCCAAACGUUGCAUAUUGUUACCUUAUACCUAUGAGUAGGUAAUGUGGAGGUACUCUAUAGUUACAAAUAGGUACGCUGUAAAUUCUGUUUAAUUACACGGUACAUUGCAGGCUGUAAUCUAAAGUGUUACCAAUGUUUAAUUUACAUUAUUCAGACAAAUGGUAACAACAGCUAUAUUAGGCUGCUUUGGAGGAAUAGUUCACCAAAAAUUAAAGUUAUGUUGUUGUUCUAAACUUGUAUGAGUUUCCUUCUGUUGUAGAAUGCAAAAGUAUACAUUUGGAACAAUAUUGGACACCAAACAGUUUCUGUGCCCCUAUGACUUCCAUAUA